GGCGAAUGAAUUUACCGGCCGCGUUUUCGCCUUAGAGUUUGAUCCUGGCUCACGACGAACGCUGGCGGCGCGCCUAACACAUGCAAGUCGAACGAGCGAGAGAGAGCUUGCUUUCUCGAGCGAGUGGCGAACGGGUGAGUAACGCGUGAGGAAUCUGCCUCAAAGAGGGGGACAACAGUUGGAAACGACUGCUAAUACCGCAUAAGCCCGCGGCUCGGCAUCGAGCAGAGGGAAAAGGAGCAAUCCGCUUUGAGAUGGCCUCGCGUCCGAUUAGCUAGUUGGUGAGGUAAUGGCCCACCAAGGCGACGAUCGGUAGCCGGACUGAGAGGUUGAACGGCCACAUUGGGACUGAGACACGGCCCAGACUCCUACGGGAGGCAGCAGUGGGGAAUAUUGCACAAUGGGGGAAACCCUGAUGCAGCGACGCCGCGUGGAGGAAGAAGGUCUUCGGAUUGUAAACUCCUGUUGUUGAGGAAGAUAAUGACGGUACUCAACAAGGAAGUGACGGCUAACUACGUGCCAGCAGCCGCGGUAAAACGUAGGUCACAAGCGUUGUCCGGAAUUACUGGGUGUAAAGGGAGCGCAGGUGGGAAGACAAGUUGGAAGUGAAAUCUAUGGGCUCAACCCAUAAACUGCUUUCAAAACUGUUUUUCUUGAGUAGUGCAGAGGUAGGCGGAAUUCCCGGUGUAGCGGUGGAAUGCGUAGAUAUCGGGAGGAACACCAGUGGCGAAGGCGGCCUACUGGGCACCAACUGACGCUGAGGCUCGAAAGUGUGGGUAGCAAACAGGAUUAGAUACCCUGGUAGUCCACACGGUAGACGAUGAUUACUAGGUGUUGGAGGAUUGACCCCUUCAGUGCCGCAGUUAACACAAUAAGUAAUCCACCUGGGGAGUACGACCGCAAGGUUGAAACUCAAAGGAAUUGACGGGGGCCCGCACAAGCAGUGGAGUAUGUGGUUUAAUUCGACGCAACGCGAAGAACCUUACCAAGUCUUGACAUCCCUUGACGAUGCUGGAAACAGUAUUUCUCUUCGGAGCAAGGAGACAGGUGGUGCAUGGUUGUCGUCAGCUCGUGUCGUGAGAUGUUGGGUUAAGUCCCGCAACGAGCGCAACCCUUACUGUCAGUUACUACGCAAGAGGACUCUGGCAGGACUGCCGUUGACAAAACGGAGGAAGGUGGGGAUGACGUCAAAUCAUCAUGCCCUUUAUGACUUGGGCUACACACGUACUACAAUGGCGUUAAACAAAGAGAAGCAAGACCGCGAGGUGGAGCAAAACUCAGAAACAACGUCCCAGUUCGGAAUGCAGGCUGCAACUCGCCUGCACGAAGUCGGAAUUGCUAGUAAUCGUGGAUCAGCAUGCCACGGUGAAUACGUUCGCCGGGCCCUUGUACACACCGCCCGUC
rnacentral:rRNA from 1 species